rnacentral:misc_RNA from 1 species
GAAAUGCGAUAAGUAGUGUGAAUUGCAGAAUUCAGUGAAUCAUCGAAUCUUUGAACGCACCUUGCGCUCCUUGGUAUUCCUUGGAGCAUGCCUGUUUGAGUAUCAUGAAAUCUUCAAAGUAAAUCUUUUGUUAACUCAAUUGGUUUCUACUUUGGUAUUGGAGGUCUUUGCAGCUUCACACCUGCUCCUCUUUGUUCAUUAGCUGGAUCUCAGUGUUAUGCUUGGUUCCACUCGGCGUGAUAAGUUAUCUAUCGCUGAGGACACUGUAAAAGGUGGCCAAGGUAAAUGCAGAUGAACCGCUUCUAAUAGUCCAUUGACUUGGACAAUACUUUUAUGAUCUGAUCUCAAAUCAGGUAGGACUACCCGCUGAACUUAAGC